rnacentral:rRNA from 1 species
AACAAACGCUGGCGGCGUGCCUAAUACAUGCAAGUCGAACGGGGAAAGCUUUCGGGUGAGUACUAGUGGCGCACGGGUGAGGAACGCGUGGAUAAUCUGCCUUAGAGUGGGGGAUAACUAGUCGAAAGAUUAGCUAAUACCGCAUAAGACCACAGGAGCUGCGGCUCAAGGGGUCAAAGGUUUUUCGCGCUAAGAUGAGUCCGCGUAAGAUUAGCUAGUUGGUGAGGUAACGGCUCACCAAGGCGACGAUCUUUAACUGGUCUGAGAGGAUGAUCAGUCAAACUGGAAAUGAGACACGAUCCAGACUCCUACGGGAGGCAGCAGUAGGGAAUAUUGCACAAUGGAGGAAACUCUGAUGCAGCGACGCCGCGUGAGUGAUGAAGGCCUUCGGGUCGUAAAGCUCUGUCGCAGGGGAAUAACACAAUGAAUGUACCCUGUAAGAAAGGAUCGGCUAACUUCGUGCCAGCCGCCGCAGUAACAC